rnacentral:lncRNA from 1 species
GUAUCGGCACACAUCCCAUGAUCCCAUAGAAGCUCAUAAUUGUAAUCAGGGUUUAGCCACACUAGCUGCAGCAGAUAUGAGGGUUAUCUAACAUACUCGAGAAAUUGAUCAAUUUAUUCCCUUGACAUAACAGCACGUAGUCCUUACCUCUCCAUCCAAUACAGGAAGCCUGGGAGGAUGAGGCCUUAUCCAUUGAGGUCCUAAUCCUUCCAAUGACAAAUUUGAUAACAGCUAACAUACUCCAGAAAUUAAUCAAUUUAUUCCCUUGACAUAACAGCACGUAGACCUUACCUCUCCAUCCAAUACAGGAAGCCUGGGAGGAUGAGGCCUUAUCCAUUGAGGUCCUAAUCCUU